rnacentral:rRNA from 1 species
GAUGAACGCUGGCGGCGUGCCUAAUACAUGCAAGUCGAGCGAACAGACCAGGAGCUUGCUCCUCUGACGUUAUCGGCGGACGGGUGAGUAACACGUGGAUAACCUACCUAUAAGACUGGGAUAACUUCGGGAAACCGGAGCUAAUACCGGAUAAUAUAUUGAACUGCAUUGUUCAAUAGUGAAAGACGGUUUUGCUGUCACUUAUAGACGGAUCCGCGCCGCAUUAGCUAGUUGGUAAGGUAACGGCUUACCAAGGCAACGAUGCGUAACCGACCUGAGAGGGUGAUCGGCCACACUGGAACUGAGACACGGUCCAGACUCCUACGGGAGGCAGCAGUAGGGAAUCUUACGCAAUGGGCGAAAGCCUGACGGAGCAACGCCGCGUGAGUGAUGAAGGUCUUCGGAUCGUAAAACUCUGUUAGUAGGGAAGAACAAAUGUGUAAGUAACUAUGAACGUCUUGACGGUACCUAAUCAGAAAGCCACGGCUAACUACGUG